rnacentral:rRNA from 1 species
CGUACACUCCUACGGGAGGCAGCAGUGGGGAAUAUUGGACAAUGGGCGCAAGCCUGAUCCAGCCAUGCCGCGUGAGUGAUGAAGGCCCUAGGGUUGUAAAGCUCUUUUGUGCGGGAAGAUAAUGACGGUACCGCAAGAAUAAGCCCCAGCUAACUUCGUGCCAGCAGCCGCGGUAAUACGAAGGGGGCUAGCGUUGCUCGGAAUCACUGGGCGUAAAGGGUGCGUAGGCGGGUCUUUAAGUCAGGGGUGAAAUCCUGGAGCUCAACUCCAGAACUGCCUUUGAUACUGAAGAUCUUGAGUUCGGGAGAGGUGAGUGGAACUGCGAGUGUAGAGGUGAAAUUCGUAGAUAUUCGCAAGAACACCAGUGGCGAAGGCGGCUCACUGGCCCGAUACUGACGCUGAGGCACGAAAGCGUGGGGAGCAAACAGGAUUAGAAACCCGGGUAGUCC